rnacentral:rRNA from 1 species
GAUGAACGCUGGCGGCGUGCCUAAUACAUGCAAGUCGAGCGAACGGACGAGAAGCUUGCUUCUCUGAUGUUAGCGGCGGACGGGUGAGUAACACGUGGAUAACCUACCUAUAAGACUGGGAUAACUUCGGGAAACCGGAGCUAAUACCGGAUAAUAUUUUGAACCGCAUGGUUCAAAAGUGAAAGACGGUCUUGCUGUCACUUAUAGAUGGAUCCGCGCUGCAUUAGCUAGUUGGUAAGGUAACGGCUUACCAAGGCAACGAUGCAUAGCCGACCUGAGAGGGUGAUCGGCCACACUGGAACUGAGACACGGUCCAGACUCCUACGGGAGGCAGCAGUAGGGAAUCUUCCGCAAAGGGCGAAAGCCUGACGGAGCAACGCCGCGUGAGUGAUGAAGGUCUUCGGAUCGUAAAACUCUGUUAUUAGGGAAGAACAUAUGUGUAAGUAACUGUGCACAUCUUGACGGUACCUAAUCAGAAAGCCACGGUUAACUACGUG